GACCGGGACCCGGUCGAUACAUGGUCAGAUGCAGCGAAGACAGCACUUUUCUUCAGCGUGGCUGAUGGUGGUGGCAGACAUGCUUUCCCGGCCACGUGCUCCUCAACAUGAGACAGCCUCGCCCACAAGUGACGUCGAAGUUCACGGACUCACCGUAGUAUCGGCCCUCAACAAGUCCACUGGAGGAUGGCCGGUCACCAGGGGAGCUGCUGCAAAAAAGACGUCUGCGCCUUCGGAGACUUCGGAGCCCUUGCUGCCACGCGAGUCUGAAAGCACAAGCAGAGCAAGCACAACAGACGCGUACUUCCAGGCCUCAAGAACCACGAAGUCGUUCGCAUAAAGGGGACGGCAUGGGCACGAAAAGCCAAGGUGCUUCGAUCAGUCGGACCACGUUCCUUCUAUGUGGAAAUGCAGGACCGUAACACCUUACGCCGUCAUUGGCAGCACCUCUUGGCAACGAGCGAACCUUCCGAGGACACUACAGGCGAAGAGUAUUACGAUGAAGACCAAGUUCCGGCCUCUAAAAUCUCGCACAUUCAACUCGUCAAGGGCGCCAGCGGCAAGUUGUACACAGCCAGCUUCGCCACAAGUUCUGCUGCAACGAAGGUCGCUGCGUCACACCCGUCCUCCUGAACGUCUGGGAUACGAUCAAAACUUCCAGCAGACAAACCAACGGCGUUGAAGGGGAAGAUGUAUCGUAUCAGUUCAACGAGCACAAGCUAUCUUUGCGUGCUGGAACUACACGUGCCUUUCCUUGCCCUCUAUUUCCGCUACCCUUUUCCCCCCCUCUGGCAUAAAAUGCCCAGCGCUAUAAACACGAGUGGACUGUUGUCUUGACACGCAUGCUGUUGGGUUCUUCGACCGGGACCCGGUCGAUACACAGCUCGGGCUACCAAUAUUAAAAAUGAACAAUGAGUGGAUCAAUAGCAAGCGGCAGGGCUGGGUGCCGACGUUCGGCUAGACUGGCUGGCUCUUCAGCCGAGAUAUAUGUCGGCCUCGGAAAAUCGGCGAACGACCAACCCGGCCUUGGGCUACCGGGAGCGCUGGCGCCGCAACUUUUGGCCGUGCUGACCGAACCAGAGCUACGAAAGGGUUGUCCGGACAACAUAUUUAUUCCCAGCCGUCUUUCUUGCAAAGUUUGUGGGGCCUGGAUUCGGGCGCGACCUUAACGGGCUGCUCGCGUUGCACCACAAUUAUCGUCAUAUGGUGUGCUACCGUCCUCCACAUAUACGGGAGUCAGCGAUUAUCGCUCCAGGUUUGCCACCAGCUAAUUUUGAUGAAACAGAGUUAUCACUGUAUUACUCUGUACUCAGCGCCACCAAAAGCGGACCAGCUGAUCAUUGUCAAGCGAGGAAUUGAAUGGCCU